UACGAAGGGGGCUAGCGUUGCUCGGAAUUACUGGGCGUAAAGCGCACGUAGACGGCUUGUUAAGUCAGGGGUGAAAUCCUGGAGCUCAACUCCAGAACUGCCUUUGAUACUGGCGAGCUUGAGUUCGGGAGAGGUGAGUGGAACUGCGAGUGUAGAGGUGAAAUUCGUAGAUAUUCGCAAGAACACCAGUGGCGAAGGCGGCUCACUGGCCCGAUACUGACGCUGAGGUGCGAAAGCGUGGGGAUCAAACAGG
rnacentral:rRNA from 1 species